rnacentral:rRNA from 1 species
UACAGAGGUCCCGAGCGUUAGGCGGAAUCACUGGGCUUAAAGCGUGUGUAGGUGGAUCGUUAAGUACCUUGUGAAAUCCCACGGCUUAACCGUGGAACUGCUUGGUAUACUGGCGGUCUUGAGCCAGCUAGGGGCUACCGGAACAAAUGGUGGAGCGGUGAAAUGCGUAGAUAUCAGGAGGAACACCGAUGGCGAAGGCAGGUCUCUGGGCAUUAACUGACGCUGAGGAGCGAAAGCAUGGGGAGCGAACAGG